UACAGAGGGUGCAAGCGUUGUCCGGAAUCACUGGGCGUAAAGCGCACGUAGGCGGAUCCUUAAGUCAGGGGUGAAAUGCCGAGGCUCAACCUCGGAACUGCCUUUGAUACUGGGGAUCUCGAGUCCGGGAGAGGUGAGUGGAAUUGCGAGUGUAGAGGUGAAAUUCGUAGAUAUUCGCAAGAACACCAGUGGCGAAGGCGGCUCACUGGCCCGGUACUGACGCUGAGGUGCGAAAGCGUGGGGAGCAAACAGG
rnacentral:rRNA from 1 species